GGAAGUUUAGCCUAGCGGUCGAAGGCGGCAGACUGUAAAUCUGUUGACGCGAAAGCGUCCUCAAACGUUCGAAUCGUUUAACUUCCA
rnacentral:tRNA from 1 species